UUAUUGAGCAACAGGGGAUACAAGUACAAAUUGCGCCGUUCAUCACACUCAAGAAACAGAAGAAGAAAUCUGGAAAGGGAUUACUUAUCCAAUGACACUGAACGCGAUUACAUGCACUAGGACGUUCCCAACGAGUUGAUGGAUUAUCUACGAUUCGCACCGAGUGAGCAACAACGUUGACAAAACGAGAUGCUAUUAUCGAAAAACUUCGAAGCUAGUCUUAUUAUAAAUUAAACCGACGAAACGGGUCAGUCGAGUGGCGUCAACGAGAAACAAUAUAUUUUUUUCUUGCACGCUGUGUAUACCAUAUUACGCGUUGAAUCAUGAAAAAAAGAAAAGUUAGCGUCGAGAGAUGCCGACUUGUUGAGGAAUUGCACACUUCGGCGAGAAGAAAUUUUCCGCGAAGGCGCGUCAUAGUCCGGGGAUACGACGAUCUGUGGCAGCUUGAUAUUAUCGAGAUGCGCCCGUUCUCGAACUUCAACAGAGGCCAUCACUACAUAUUCAUCGAUAUAUUGAGCAAGUAUGCGUGGGCCAUAAGAACAAGGAUGGAAGCGAGAUGACUGACACUAUCACUAAGAUAAUUCGAGCGAGUGGAAGAUGUUCGACAAAUUUACAAACGAAUAUGGGGAAGGAGUUUUAUAACAUCAAUGUGCAAAAAAUCUUGAAAAACACGACGUUAAUUACUAUUCCAUGUAUUUGAUGUUGAAAGCAUCAGUGAUCGAGUGGUUCAAUCGCACACUCAAAAACGACACAUGGAAGAUGUUUACACUUAACGGCAAUUAGUUCAACGAGCUGCUGCGUCUCGUGUCAGAUUACAAUGCGCGCAAGCAUCGCAUUGUGUACUAUCGGCAUGCGACCCGCCAACUCUGCGUUGAAACCACU